CUCUGGGCUCGCUUGAAGCUCAGGGCAGAAAGAG
rnacentral:ncRNA from 1 species